AUGGUGUUUAGUUUCACGAGUGAGGGAGUAUUAUGUUAUAUUUUCCAAAUUGUUACUUUAAUUGAAUUUAUUGAACAAAUAAUUAUUAAUUGGACCAAUUCCAACAAGCAGCGGCGGCGGCUUGUUUUAAGGUGUAUUAGGGUUUCUUUUUUUUUCCUCCUAAUCCAUAACCCGGUUGGCCCAUUGGGCCCAUUUGGCUUAGCUUUUUCUAGUUCCUUUCCUUUUAAUUUAUUUGAGUUGUAG